rnacentral:rRNA from 1 species
GAUGAACGCUAGCGGCGUGCCUAAUACAUGCAAGUAGAACGCUGAAGGAGGAGCUUGCUCUUCUGGAUGAGUUGCGAACGGGUGAGUAACGCGUAGGUAACCUGCCUGGUAGCGGGGGAUAACUAUUGGAAACGAUAGCUAAUAACGCAUGACAACAGUUAUUGCAUGAUAACUGUUUAAAAGGGGCAACUGCUCCACUACCAGAUGGACCUGCGUUGUAUUAGCUAGUUGGUGAGGUAACGGCUCACCAAGGCGAAGAUACAUAGCCGACCUGAGAGGGGGAUCGGCCACACUGGGACUGAGACACGGCCCAGACUCCUACGGGAGGCAGCAGUAGGGCAUCUUCGGCAAUGGACGGAAGUCUGACCGAGCAACGCCGCGUGAGUGAAGAAGGUUUUCGGAUCGUAAAGCUCUGUUGUAAGAGAAGAACGAGUGUGAGAGUGGAAAGUUCACACUGUGACGGUAUCUUACCAGAAAGGGACGGCUAACUACGUG